UUCUACCCACAUUAUAAUCUUUCCCACCACAAAAAGUUAAAAAUUUGAAAUGUUAUUUUCCAUCCACUAUUAUUCGUAAAAUAACCUCUAAUAUAUAUCUAAAUUCUUUAUAAUUUUUUAGAAAAAUAAAUAUUAGAGUGCUGAUAAGCCCAGCUGAGCCUUCAUUCAUCACUAAGGCCUCCCUUCCUAAUUUUUAUUCUAGUUGGAAUUCCAUAGUUUGGUGACUUCCCAAAUCUCUAGCGAUUUCGUCACUCUCCUCCCUUCCCUUUCUACAAACCCCUAAAGCAACCUCCUUCCUUAUCCCUUCUAAAUCCUACGACCAACCCUCAUGUUGCAUUCCCAAAAUUUCAUCUUCAUGCCCCAUUUCCAAAUUUGCGAUACCUAAUUCUACUUGUCAAGUCUUAUUCUUGUCCCCCAUUUCAAAUUCCAAAUUUGAAAUAAUUAGUUCAUUGGUAAAAUGUUAUGACAAACUAUUAUAUAUGUUAAAACGAGGAAUAAAAAAAAAUAUUUAUUUAAAUGAAUUGAGAUAUAUGCAGAGAGAUGGUGAACAGAAAAGAGAAUCAUUUCUUUCUUUAUCUUUUUUUGCCUUGGUCCUUAAAUGUCAUUUUACAAGAGGAUAAAAUUGGUAUCAACUUUUUUUUUUUAAAAAGUGGGUGAAGAGAUAAGAGUGGGAUGAGUUCAUUAGCGCUCAUGUUGAUAGUAGUAUUGAAUUUACCAGAUUGCCCUUUAUUUUAGGCCAAAAGAGGAAAAAGAUAAAAAAUAUCGCAAAAUCACCCAACAAAAUAUAAAGAUUGCCAUUUGUUUUGGACCGAAAGAGGAGAAAGAUACUUUAUUGUACAAUUGAAAAAAAUAUAUAUACGAGGGACGGAUGAAGGCAUAAAAAGAGGAAUAAAAAAAUAUAUUUAUUUGAAUGAAUUGAGAUAUAAGCAGAGAGAUGGUGAACAAAAAAAAGAACUUGUUGUAGGCAUAUUUGAUUGAACUAAUCUAAAGGAUUUG
rnacentral:lncRNA from 1 species